rnacentral:rRNA from 1 species
AGCGAACGCUGGCGGCAGGCCUAACACAUGCAAGUCGAACGAACCUUUCGGGGUUAGUGGCGGACGGGUGAGUAACACGUGGGAACGUGCCUUUAGGUUCGGAAUAACUCAGGGAAACUUGUGCUAAUACCGAAUGUGCCCUUCGGGGGAAAGAUUAAUCGCCUUUAGAGCGGCCCGCGUCUGAUUAGCUAGUUGGUUGAGGUAAUGGCUCACCAAGGCGACGAUCAGUAGCUGGUCUGAGAGGAUGAUCAGCCACAUUGGGACUGAGACACGGCCCAAACUCCUACGGGAGACAGCAGUGGGGAAUCUUGCGCAAUGGGCGAAAGCCUGACGCAGCCAUGCCGCGUGAAUGAUGAAGGUCUUAGGAUUGUAAAAUUCUUUCACCGGGGACGAUAAUGACGGUACCCGGAGAAGAAGCCCCGGCUAACUUCGUG